rnacentral:ncRNA from 1 species
UAUAGUCGUUGCGCCGAUGGUUCCCGCAUGAGGCGGGACGCAAGAAGGGAACACGGUGAGGGAGUCUCCCGAUUCCGUGGCUGCCCCCGCAACUGAAAGCGGAGAGCGCCCCUCGUCACGCCACUGGAGCGGUCGCUCCGGGAAGGUUGAGGGGAUGCGCAGACCCGCGAAGCCAGGAAACCUGCCACGGCACAAACCUUGAA